GAGGUCUUAAGACCUUUGGGGCCACAUGGGCAAAGCAAAACAUUUGAAGGCAGAUGGACCCAACGAGACGCCGUAGUUUACGUCCACAGCAGGCGAGGCCAAGGCUAGGCGCUGGCGGCCGCCUGCAGGAAGGUCUCCAGGCCAUGGACUCGCGGCUACCAAAUACUGAAGGGCCCAGGAAGGAUCCGUGGCAGCCCGGGCCUGAGAUGAGUUUAGAGUCCUUGUUUCAGCACAUCAUCUUCUCGGAGCAUCAGGCAGAGGAGAGUCGCCGCUUGAUCCGAGAAGUAAGGUCGGAAAUUAACAGAUGUCGUGAAGACAUUAAGAAAGCAACUGAGAUGCUGAAUGAAGAGAAAAUCAAGUUGGAAUCCAAGGUUCAGCAAUUUUCUGAAAACACUUUCCUCUUACAGCUUUGGAAGAUUCAUGAAAAUGCCUUAGAAAGACAGUAUAGUGAAAUUAUAAACCAGAGGAAUAUGCUUCUCCAAACCUUUGAGGCUACAAAGAAAAAAGUGAUAGAAGAGGAGGAAAAAUUUAUUAAGGAAAUUACAGACUUCAAUAAUGAGUAUGAAGUAACAAAGAAAAGAGAGCUGUUGAUAAAAGAAAAUGUCCAGAUUGAAAUAUCUGACUUAGAAAACCAGGCAAACAUUUUGAAAAGAGAAAUGAAGACAAUGGAACACAAUAGUGGCCAGUUAAGUGAACUUCAAAAACAAAAGGAUGAAUUAAUACAAGAAUUAUUUACUCUGCAGAGAAAACUUAAAGUUUUUGAAGAUAAAAAGAAUGAAGCCAUUUGUACUACCAAAUACCUAGAGGCAGAAAAAGUAAAAAUCAAUGAAAAGCCUCAAAAUGAUGCUGAAUGCUUAAGACUUAAGAAAGAAUUAGAACUUUGUAAGGAAGACGACAUGCAAAGUGCUUAUGAAGCUCUCCAAACAGAAGUAGAAUUUCUGGAGUUGACAUUGGCACAGAAAGAUCUUCAGGAAAACAAAUAACUUGUGGACAAUUGACCAAAGCUAUUCAAGGUUUGAUCAAAGCACCUUAAAAUCAAAUCCUGUGACGGAUACACGAACAGUGCCCAUUAUAACAGAUUUUUGUGGAAAACGUGAGGUUCUGAAUGUUCAAAGUUGUUGAUAUCUAGAAUUGGCAUAUUACCAUUUUUAAAAUGUAAUGUCUUGUUACUUGCUGGAACUUUAAAGCUUCUUAUGGGAUUUGAUUUUGUUUCUAAAGGAAGAAAAAGGGACAGGUGGAUAUUGUGCUCUCCGCUUCUUAUCUCUCCUGACCCUUAAGCUGAUCUGUACUUUGUGAUGUUCAUUCUUUAUUGCGGUUUACCUUGGGUCUGGUCAAACACCGGUGGGGAGAAACGAUCAGAUUAUUGAUCCCAUUUUGUCGGUGCCAUUUCCCUCAACAAAGAUGCUCACUUUCAUUUUAAUCCUGCUCUAAUCUUUAAAAUGUCUGUUGACAGAAGUCUUCUGAGGCCUUUCAUCUGCAAAAGCCAGUUUUCUCCCCUUUUCUCUAGAUAUUUUUGUAGAGUUAAGUCUGGGGCUCCCGCGGCCGUUUCCCAGCGUUUUGUGCCUGCUGUCCUCUUCCCAGUGCCGGUGUUGGUUAGAAUGAAAUGCAGAGAGAAGUUAACCAGGUACCAGGGCUGUUUAAACUGCCUCUUCUCCAAUGGUGGCCACUGCUUCCUCCUUCCCAGCAAGUGGAGUUCUGGAGGUCAGAAGUGUGACGUGGGCCUCACUGGACUGAAAGCGAGAUGUCAGAGCUGCGUUCCUUCGGAGGCUCUAGGGUAGGAUGUAUAGAACGCUUGCCUUUUCUAGCUUCUGGGGGCCGCUUACAUUCUGUGGCACAUGACCCCUUCCUGCACCUUACUCCAGCCAGCCCAGGAAGCCACGUCCUUCUCACGUUGAGUCUCCCUGGUUUCCCUCUUGUGCCCUUCUCUUCAGCUUACAAGGACCCUUGUGAUUAUGAGGCCCACCUGGACAGUCCGGGCUUGUCUCCCCAUCUCAAGGUCAGCCAGUUUCUCUUUGCCACGUAACUCACCAUAUUCAUAGAUUUUGGAGAUCAGGAUGUGCACGUCUUUGGAAGGGGGCGUUACUCUGCCUAGCACAUCGAUGAAAUGUUUGUGCUCUCUAAAACAGGCUAAGCCGCCUUCUUACCUGUGUGGCACAUUUUGUGUUCAGUUUCUUAGCAAGUCCUUUUAAAUUGAAGGAAAAAUUCAGUAUUAGUUAAUGGCAUUUUACUUUUUAUGAUUCUGUGGCCCAUCUUCUGGCCUGCAAUAAAGUGAAAACAUAAUGUAGUUGAGUGAUUUCCCCCCUCCCAGGCAAGUGGGUCCUGUAGUUCUAUAACAAAGACAUUUCAUGGGCAGUUCUAAGUUAGCAUUUUUUCCUUCAUCUCCUUUUGUCCUAAUUGUUAACAUCUCUGUCUUUCUGAGUUUCUGCCAAAUACGUUUUAAUAAGUUUUUUUCUCUUAUUUUUCACUUCCCUUGUUGCCCACUCUUAUCUUGUUUAUCUGUUUUACUGGAUUACUUUCACGGAUAAUAAAAGAAGUUUGGUCCCCUUUUUA